rnacentral:misc_RNA from 1 species
GUUGGAAACAUUAAGUGAACCUGGAAGAGGUGGUAAUCCCGAUGAUGGAUAUGGAGUGUUAGAUGUCUUUGGGGCUGACAAACGUGCCACAGCAGCAGAAACAAUUUCUGUAACUUUGUUAAGCACCAUGCUUGCAAAGAUUACAAGUUCUAUGCAAAGUUACUCUUCACACAAGAGUUUCCAAGUCCAUUCUUCCAUUUAUACAUGAAAAGCUCAUUGACUAUAUCAUACAGUAGAUAAGUGUUGUAAGCAUAGCACACGAUACACUAAUUGCACCUGUAAA